UGCGCCCAUGUAGACAUACAGGUGGCGCACGGCGCACGGGUGCGUAACACGUGGGUAAUCUGCCCUUCGAUGGGGAAUAACCUCGCGAAAGCGAGGCUAAUUCCGCAUAACAUUCCGAGAACUUUGGUUUUUGGAUUCAAAGGCGUAAGUCGUCGGAGGAGGAGCCCGCGCACGAUUAGCUAGUUGGUGAGGUAACGGCUCACCAAGGCUUUGAUCGUUAGCUGGUCUGAGAGGAUGGCCAGCCACACUGGAACUGAGACACGGUCCAGACUCCUACGGGAGGCAGCAGUGGGGAAUCUUGCACAAUGGGCGAAAGCCUGAUGCAGCGACGCCGCGUGGGGGAUGAAGCUUUUCGGAGUGUAAACCCCUUUCGACCCGGACGAAUGCCCCGCAAGGGGACUGACGGUACGGGUAUAAGAAGCCCCGGCUAACUACGUGCCAGCAGCCGCGGUAAUACGUAGGGGGCCAGCGUUGCUCGGAAUUACUGGGUGUAAAGGGUUCGUAGGCGGUGUGGCAAGUCGGGAGUGAAAUCUCUGGGCUCAACCCAGAGACGGCUUCCGAAACUGCUGUGCUUGAGUGUGGGAGAGGCGCGUGGAAUUGCAGGUGUAGCGGUGAAAUGCGUAGAUAUCUGCAGGAACACCCGUGGCGAAAGCGGCGCGCUGGACCACAACUGACGCUGAGGAACGAAAGCUAGGGGAGCAAACAGGAUUAGAUACCCUGGUAGUCCUAGCCCUAAACGAUCGGGACUUGGGGUGCCGCACGUUCGUGCGUCGUCCCGGAGCUAACGCGUUAAGUCCCGCACCUGGGGAGUACGGUCGCAAGACUGAAACUCAAAGGAAUUGACGGGGCCCGCACAAGCGGUGGAACAUGUGGUUCAAUUCGACGCUG
rnacentral:rRNA from 1 species